GACGAACGCUGGCGGCGUGCCUAACACAUGCAAGUCGAGCGGAGUCAGUAAGAGGAAGUUUUCGGAUGGAAUCUUAUUGAUUUAGCGGCGGACGGGUGAGUAACGCGUGAGCGACCAACCUUGCACAGCGGGAUAACGGACCGAAAGGUUCACUAAUACCGCAUGAGACCACGGUGUUGCAUGACACAGUGGUCAAAGGAGCAAUCCGGUGCAAGACGGGCUCGCGUCGGAUUAGGAAGUUGGAGGGGUAACGGCCCACCAAGCCUAUGAUCGGUAGCCGACCGGAGAGGGUGAUCGGCCACAUUGGAACUGAGAUAGGGUCCAAACGCCUACGGGAGGCAGCAGUGGGGAAAAGUGGGCAAUGGGGGAAACCCUGACCCAGCAACGCCGCGUGAAGGAAGAAGGUUUUCGGAUUGUAAACUUCUGUCCUUGGUGAAGAGAAGAAGACGGUAGCCAAGGAGGAAGCCCCGGCUAACUACGUGCCAGCCGCCGCCGUAA
rnacentral:rRNA from 1 species